rnacentral:tRNA from 1 species
GCCUGGGUGGCUCAGUGGUUGAGCAUCUGCCUUCAGCUCAGGUGAUCCCAGUCCUGGGAUCGAGUCCCAUGUCGGGCU